rnacentral:rRNA from 1 species
GAUGAACGCUGGCGGCGUGCCUAAUACAUGCCAGUCGAGCGAACAGACGAGGAGCUUGCUCCUCUGACGUUAGCGGCGGACGGGUGAGUAACACGUGGAUAACCUACCUAUAUGACUGGGAUAACUUCGGGAAACCGGAGCUAAUACCGGAUAAUAUAUUCAACCGCAUGGUUCAAUAGUGAAAGACGGUUUUGCUGUCACUUAUAGAUGGAUCCGCGCCGCAUUAGCUAGUUGGUAAGGUAACGGCUUACCAAGGCAACGAUGCGUAGCCGACCUGAGAGGGUGAUCAGCCACACUGGAACUGAGACACGGUCCAGACUCCUACGGGAGGCAGCAGUAGGGAAUCUUCCGCAAUGGGCGAAAGCCUGACGGAGCAACGCCGCGUGAGUGAUGAAGGUCUUCGGAUCGUAAAACUCUGUUAUUAGGGAAGAACAAAUGUGUAAGUAACUAUGCACGUCUUGACGGUACCUAAUCAGAAAGCCACGGCUAACUACGUG